ACGUUAAAAAUAACAUUAGAACUCUUGCAGAGCAAGCUUUGAUUGCUAACGAAUCCAGUGUUCCUGCUAUCCAAGUGACUGAGAUGGCCAUCCUUUGAGCCUGUGUUUUCAAGAACAGUCAGCUGUGGAAUGAAUCAGCCAUGAUCUGUGGGAGACGUACUUGAAAUGUACUCAUUCCGUGGGAGAAAAGACCUGGGCUGACGCUGCUACGGCAUAGAUUAUUCUCUGCUGCUUUCAGUAUUUUAUAAGGUGAGGAGACUGAGACCUGGAAGGAUGCUGUGACUUUUUCAGUCAUUCAUGUUUUAUGACCUUACUCCUCUACUAAGUUUUAGUGCAAAGAGCACCAGCAGGAUUGGAAAAUAACAUUCGAAUCUGAAGGCACAUACGGCAACUACAGAGACCUCCUUUGAUACUUCUGAAGUCAUUUUAAAUGGGGCCAUCCAUUUGUCUGAGUCGCACAACUCAUCCAGAACCUAGUAUAGUCAUCUAUUGUCGCCCGCUGAUCACCUGUUCCUCCCACGAUCUGCGUGUUUGAUCUUGGAGACAUUAAGCUGUAUGGAGAGCAAAAGCAUCCUUGGGUACUCUGCCACCUGCCCUCGUCAAUUGACGUGAUGGAGAGAACCUUUUUAUUUGCCAUUUACCCACUGCCAGGGAGGGUAUGCCGGGGUGAGUGUUGUAUGUCUGAAGAAUUCAG